rnacentral:rRNA from 1 species
GGCGAACGCUGGCGGCGUGCUUAACACAUGCAAGUCAAGGGGGCCCAGCAAUGGGCAACCGGCGAACGGGUGCGUAACACGUGAGCAACCUACCGAACUGUGGGGGAGUAGCCGGCCUAACGGCCGAGUAAUACCGCAUACGCUCUCAGUGAGGCAUUUCAUUGAGAGGAAACCUACGGGACAGAUCGAGGGGCUCGCGGCCUAUCAGCUAGUUGGCGAGGUAACGGCCACCAAGGCAACGACGGGUAGCUGGUCUGAGAGGAUGGCCAGCCACAUUGGGACUGAGAUACGGCCCAGACUCCUACGGGAGGCAGCAGUAAGGAAUAUUGCGCAAUGGGCGAAAGCCUGACGCAGCGACGCCGCGU